rnacentral:rRNA from 1 species
AACGAACGCUGGCGGCAUGCCUAACACAUGCAAGUCGAACGAGACCUUCGGGUCUAGUGGCGCAAGGGUGCGUAACGCGUGGGAACCUGCCCUUAGGUUCGGAAUAACUCCCCGAAAGGGGUGCUAAUACCGGAUAAUGUCUUCGGACCAAAGAUUUAUCGCCUUUGGAUGGGCACGCGUUGGAUUAGCUAGUUGGUAGGGUAAAAGCCUACCAAGGCGACGAUCCAUAGCUGGUCUGAGAGGAUGAUCAGCCACACUGGGACUGAGACACGGCCCAGACUCCUACGGGAGGCAGCAGUGGGGAAUAUUGGACAAUGGGCGAAAGCCUGAUCCAGCAAUGCCGCGUGAGUGAUGAAGGCCUUAGGGUUGUAAAGCUCUUUUACCCGGGAUGAUAAUGACAGUACCGUGAGAAUAAGCUCCGGCUAACUCCGUG